UCCAAUACUCAAUUAUGCUCACUCAAUCAACUAAUCUAGCAUCCAAUGUAUCUAUAUAAUUUUUAUAUAAAUUAAAGAGAGAGAAAAUGCAUUUUAGUGCAUUAUUUGUGCAUUAUUGAUCUACCAAUCCCUAAAAAUUCGUCCAACCACUCCAUAAUUAUCAUGUGAGCUCAAUUAUGCCAGCCAUAUAAGCAUCCAAGGCAAUCUAAGGGUCUAUAUAUAGAGAUUGAAGGAGAAAUAAUGAAAACAUACUCUAAUAUUUUCUAAACUCUCUAGACAAACUCUCUCAACCUCUAGCCAACGAAAUUAUCUAGCAUAUCAGUCCCUAAACAAAGCCCAACCACCACAAACAACAAAUCAGAAGCAUCAAAGGAUCAAAAUCAAGAAAUCGAAGCUAGAAAAGGUAUGAAGUUCUCUAAUUUUGAAAUCCUUCGAUUCGAUGUUAAUUGAUGCAAUUGAUUGUUUAAAGUAGUGUAAUAGAGAGUCUAUUAAUGUUCUGGGUUGUAAAAUCAUGAACCCAUAACAUCAAAGUGCACGAAUUUGAAGAUUUGAGCAAGUUAGA
rnacentral:lncRNA from 1 species